rnacentral:rRNA from 1 species
GGCGGCGUGCUUAACACAUGCAAGUCGAACGAUGAACCACUUCGGUGGGGAUUAGUGGCGAACGGGUGAGUAACACGUGGGCAAUCUGCCCUUCACUCUGGGACAAGCCCUGGAAACGGGGUCUAAUACCGGAUAUGACCAUCUUGGGCAUCCUUGAUGGUGUAAAGCUCCGGCGGUGAAGGAUGAGCCCGCGGCCUAUCAGCUUGUUGGUGAGGUAAUGGCUCACCAAGGCGACGACGGGUAGCCGGCCUGAGAGGGCGACCGGCCACACUGGGACUGAGACACGGCCCAGACUCCUACGGGAGGCAGCAGUGGGGAAUAUUGCACAAUGGGCGAAAGCCUGAUGCAGCGACGCCGCGUGAGGGAUGACGGCCUUCGGGUUGUAAACCUCUUUCAGCAGGGAAGAAGCGAAAGUGACGGUACCUGCAGAAGAAGCGCCGGCUAACUACGUGCCAGCAGCCGCGGUAAUACGUAGGGCGCAAGCGUUGUCCGGAAUUAUUGGGCGUAAAGAGCUCGUAGGCGGCUUGUCACGUCGGGUGUGAAAGCCCGGGGCUUAACCCCGGGUCUGCAUUCGAUACGGGCUAGCUAGAGUGUGGUAGGGGAGAUCGGAAUUCCUGGUGUAGCGGUGAAAUGCGCAGAUAUCAGGAGGAACACCGGUGGCGAAGGCGGAUCUCUGGGCCAUUACUGACGCUGAGGAGCGAAAGCGUGGGGAGCGAACAGGAUUAGAUACCCUGGUAGUCCACGCCGUAAACGGUGGGAACUAGGUGUUGGCGACAUUCCACGUCGUCGGUGCCGCAGCUAACGCAUUAAGUUCCCCGCCUGGGGAGUACGGCCGC